rnacentral:rRNA from 1 species
GACAGAGGGUGCAAACGUUGCUCGGAAUCACUGGGCGUAAAGGGCGUGUAGGCGGUCUGACAAGUCUGAUGUGAAAUCUAUGGGCUCAACCCAUAGUCUGCAUCGGAAACUGUCGGGCUGGAGUAUGGGAGAGGUGAGUGGAAUUUCCGGUGUAGCGGUGAAAUGCGUAGAUAUCGGAAGGAACACCUGUGGCGAAAGCGGCUCACUGGACCAUUACUGACGCUGAUGCACGAAAGCUAGGGGAGCAAACAGG